rnacentral:rRNA from 1 species
UUAGUUCUAUGUAGGGAAUCUUCCACAAUGGGCGAAAGCCUGAUGGAGCAACGCCGCGUGAGUGAUGAAGGUUUUCGGGUCGUAAAGCAUCUGUUGUAUGGGAAGAACAGAUAGAAUAGUAAAUGAUUUUAGUUUGACGGUACCAUACCAGAAAGUCACGGCUAAAUACGUGCCAGCAGCCGCGGUAAUACGUAUGUCCCGAGCGUUAUCCGGAUUUAUUGGGCGUAAAGCGAGCGCAGACGGUUUAUUAAGUCUGAUGUGAAAGCCCGGAGCUCAACUCCGGAAUGGGCAUUGGAAACUGGUUAACUUGAGUGCAGUA